CUGCUUACAUGUAUCAGUGACUGGCAUUUCUUCUAUUUGUUUCCUCUGUAUCGCCACCACAUUCAGAGUAAAUGUGCAAGCUCCUCGAUUUCUAUAAAACGCCAUCACUUUUUUAGAACUAUCAACUCCUAUCAAGUGGGUCAUGCGUCUAAAGAAGCAGACAAAUGGAAUGGAUCAGUGUGUUUGGGUUUGUCGACAUGGAAUAAAUACAGUGCAAAAAUAGCCAUUCAAAAGCAUCACUGUGUGAUUGGAUGUGAUUCAUUUACAGGUUUUCUCAGGGCCUACUACUGCGCCAGGUCGACAUGAUUUAUGACAACAUUGCAGCAAGCUCAGCAAUGCUUAGUGAAAUGGCCAGAAAGCUAAAGGAGGUGUGAGUUAUAGCUGUUGAGAGGAAGAGAAGACAUAAAGGCCAGCAGAUUGGUGGAAAAAAGGAGCUUGUUGUGAUUGAUGAGAGCCAGUUUCAACAUAAAAGAAAGAUGUGCUGUGAAUUUAUAUCUUUAAAUCAUUUCAAUUUUAUACAGAUGAUCUAAUCUGAUUUGUAUAUUAAUAUGGAUUAAUAAAGACGCAUCGGUAACACUUUUCUCUCCA
ensembl:lncRNA